rnacentral:rRNA from 1 species
AGGUUACUGCUAUCGGUGUUCGCCUAAGCCAUGCGAGUCAUAUGUUCGUAAGAACAUGGCGUACUGCUCAGUAACACGUGGAUAACCUGCCCUUGGGUCCGGCAUAACCCCGGGAAACUGGGGAUAAUUCCGGAUAACGCACAUAUGCUGGAAUGCUUUAUGCGUAAAAUGGAUUCGUCUGCCCAAGGAUGGGUCUGCGGCCUAUCAGGUAGUAGUGGGUGUAAUGUACCUACUAGCCUACGACGGGUACGGGUUGUGAGAGCAAGAGCCCGGAGAUGGAUUCUGAGACAUGAAUCCAGGCCCUACGGGGCGCAGCAGGCGCGAAAACUUUACAAUGCGGGAAACCGUGAUAAGGGGACACCGAGUGCCAGCAUCCUAUACUGGCUGUCCGGGUGUGUAAAAUACACCUGUUAGCAAGGGCCGGGCAAGACCGGUGCCAGCCGCCGCGGUAACACCGGCGGCCCGAGUGGUGAUCGUGAUUAUUGGGUCUAAAGGGUCCGUAGCCGGUUUGGUCAGUCCUCCGGGAAAUCUGACAGCUUAACUGUUAGGCUUUCGGAGGAUACUGCCAGACUUGGAACCGGGAGAGGUAAGAGGUACUACAGGGGUAGGAGUGAAAUCUUGUAAUCCCUGUGGGACCACCUGUGGCGAAGGCGUCUUACCAGAACGGGUUCGACGGUGAGGGACGAAAGCUGGGGGCACGAACCGGAUUAGAUACCCGGGUAGUCCCAGCCGUAAACGAUGCUCGCUAGGUGUCAGGCAUGGCGCGACCGUCUCUGGUGCCGCAGGGAAGCCGUGAAGCGAUCCACCUGGGAAGUACGGCCGCAAGGCUGAAACUUAA